ACACUGUAGAUACGCACUUAAUUCCUUUACUGACCCUCGUUACUUUUUAGCACUGUAGUAAAAAUAAUUAGUACAUUCAACAUUUAUUUUUUUAUUUUUUUUUAACUCUAGUUUUGAUCCAUCUAUCCAAAAAUAUUUAUUACAAAUAUUAUCUACCAAUCAGAAGAGCACUGGACUUCACUUUUAUACAGAAAGCUCUCCCC
rnacentral:lncRNA from 1 species